AGUUUGGGAGCGUAUUUAAGGCGGCGUACCGUGCCACAAAAGGCAUAAGCUUGCUACCAGCGUCUGAAGCAAGAUAAAAAUACAAAUCCAUUAAAAUGCUGAAAUUUCUACUUUUCGGGAGCUUAGUGCUUCUCUCCUGCGCCAAACGGGACAAUCCACGAACCACGGGGCGAGGAUUUUGGACCAUUGUCUCAAGAAAUUUUAGAAAUUCAUCCAAUGAUGACAUUUCUGGGGACGGUUAGCGGGAAACGAAUAUACUAAGAAGCAAUUCCUGUGAGAAGUUCAUAAAUAAUUUAUUCAAAGGCAUAAAUUUUAUAAUAUAAUUUAUGUAAAUGAGGGCCCAUAAAUUUUAUAAUAUAAUUUAUGUAAAUGAGGGCCCAUAAAUUUUAUUAAUUGUGAAUUAGUGUUAAUAUGUACAUAUAAAAUUUGCGAUGGGGAUGGAGCUUCUGCGGGUGGAUUCCGUGACGGAAAUUUCCUUCAUUAAUGAACGAACGACGGGUAAUGAUCAUAUUUGGACGGACGGUUACGUCUUUGUCUAGGUUGAGAUGGAACCAGGGUUCCGCACCCGUCAGUGUGCCGGGUUUGGGUUUGUACAAUUAUCAAAGUAUCGGGGUCACCUUGAUAAAAAGCAACAACAGACUUGCCGUCGGCAUGCCGGUUACUACUGCCCGGAAUUACUUGUGCUACAUUUAAGGCUCCCGGAACGAAGGAACAGGGUUUAUUUAAAAUGGGUGAAAUUAAUAAGUUGUAUGAUGUAUUUAGGGUAAAGUCUACAUGUCCUUGAAAAUAGUAAAAUAUUUGGAAAAUAAUAAAACCAUAUUGAUUGAUCAAUGUAAUUACUGAAAGAAAAUUAAAAUAUAUGUAG